CUUCAUCUUAAAUUUGAAUUUGUUCUAAUUUUCAACUGUUGUCAUGGGUUUAACCAAAUUUGUUUGUUUAUCAUUUUCCGAUCGAUGUCGGUUGAGUAUUUUGGUCGUUUCAUAUCAAGAAUAAGUUAUGAAAUCGGGACAAUGCACUUUCAAACACUUCCGAAUAAAUAAAAAACUAUAGCGGUGUGUGGGGCCAGCCCUUCGUGAUUUCGCUUGACGACGAUGAACGCUUACAGAUCUGAUGUACAAGAGGAAUGCGCAUUUAAAGGUUUUGCUUCCA